rnacentral:rRNA from 1 species
UACGUAGGGCGCAAGCGUUGUCCGGAUUUAUUGGGCGUAAAGAGCUCGUAGGCGGCUUGUCGCGUCGAAUGUGAAAUCCUGCGGCUCAACUGCAGGCUUGCAUUCGAUACGGGCAGGCUCGAGUUCGGUAGGGGAGACUGGAAUUCCUGGUGUAGCGGUGAAAUGCGCAGAUAUCAGGAGGAACACCGGUGGCGAAGGCGGGUCUCUGGGCCGAUACUGACGCUGAGGAGCGAAAGCGUGGGGAGCGAACAGG